rnacentral:rRNA from 1 species
UACGUAGGGGGCAAGCGUUGUCCGGAAUCAUUGGGCGUAAAGAGCGUGUAGGCGGUCCGGUAAGUCGGUUGUGAAAGUCCAGGGCUCAACCCUGGGAUGCCGACCGAUACUGUCGGACUAGAGUUCGGAAGAGGCGAGUGGAAUUCCCGGUGUAGCGGUGAAAUGCGCAGAUAUCGGGAGGAACACCAGUGGCGAAGGCAGCUCGCUGGGACGGUACUGACGCUGAGACGCGAAAGCGUGGGGAGCGAACAGG